rnacentral:lncRNA from 1 species
CGGAACCGCGCACACCGCGACCACCCCGCCCCCACCCUCCCGCCGCAGCGCUCCCUCCCCGCCGCAGCGCAGCCGCCGCCCCCGGGAACCUCAUCACUUCCGGUGGCUCUUCAGCUUUUCCGAAGAUAAGGGGAAUAAAGAAGUCACCUCCCCAGCUGUCAUCAUCCGGCAGCAGAUUGAGCAAGAAGAUUCUGAGCACUGCAGAGAAGACAACCCAUCAACCCGAAGAUGAUGAGCAGCCCUGUGACCUCUUCAAGACAAGGAAUAGGAUGAGGGACUGUCAACAGAAAAGCAGCAGUAUAAAUGCUGGCUCAUCCUGGAAUCAAGUACAACCUUUAAAGAUAUCUUCGGGGAAAAGGCCGAGUGAACUGCAAGGACCCCGUGUCUCUUCCCAGCCAAGGAGCAGCCUUCUUGGAAUCUCCCAGCCAGCAGCAGAUAAACUUGUGGAAACCAUUCCCAGGGAGGGAAGACAGGAGCAGGCCGAGCUCAGCUCCAGGUAUC